AGACGUCUACAUUAGAUACCCGUGUAGUCCCAGCCGUAAACUAUGCGCGUUAGGUGUAUCGGUGACCACGAGUCACCGAGGUGCCGAAGGGAAACCGUGAAACGUGCCGCCUGGGAAGUACGGUCGCAAGGCUGAAACUUAAAGGAAUUGGCGGGGAGCACCGCAACGGGUGGAGCCUGCGGUUUAAUUGGACUCAACGCCGGGAAGCUCACCGGAUAGGACAGCAGAAUGAUUGCCGGGCUGAAGACCCUGCAUGACUAGCUG
rnacentral:rRNA from 1 species